AAUUAAAAGUAAGUUUGACCCAGACUCUCACCAUCCUAUCAAGCUUCUCUGUCCCCCUGGAAGUGGUGAGGUAGGGCCCAACCUUGGUCCCAUCUCCCUGGAAGCUGGGGUAGGGCCAUGGUGGGCCUGACGCUCCUGAGAGAGGUGGGGUAGGGCCAUGGUGGGCCUGACACCUCCACAUGUGUCCGAUAGGACCGCUGGGUCCUGCAGGUUUGCACGAACACGCUCCACGAAGCUUUUUAUCUGCUUCUGCAAAACACGCCGAUCCUUCCCAAGGACAGCAAAGCAUUUCUUGCACAUAAUUUGUUGGCCAUCCCUUUAACGCUGUAACUCCAGGUUCGGCUCCCAUUUUUUUGAACUCUGAGUGAAAGGUUUACAUUCCUGCGCGCUUCCACGAUUUUUAGGAGGGACUUUAAAAACAGCCAAGUAAACGUCUGUUCUUGAGGAAUAAAAUGAAGCAACUGUGAGGUCACAUGAAGUCCUCCUCCACCCCAAUUUCAGCAGAAAAAUUACUUACGUUUGGCUUUUCCCGCAUAAGUCAAAUGCUUAAUGCGCAGCUCUCCCUUGUAAAGGGCAGGGUUCUGUCUCUCAUGAAUCAUCCGAGUCCCCAAGGUGCAGAGGCUUUGCCGAGCCCAGUCAAGUGGUUUGAGAUGAACUAACGGGACGAGCAGCUCCUUCAGGAAGUGGGGACCGGGGUCAGUUCAGAGCCCUGGUGCUGCGGAGCCCGGAAAAGGCAGUGGCCUGGCCCCUGACUGCUCCCAGGGUUGCCCUGCCCGGGGUGGCCUCCCAGGAGUGGCUCUGACUCAUCACUCUCUUUUCCUUGGCUGAGCAUGGCCUGUGACGUCAGGUGUCCAGAAAGUAGUAAAAAUGCAGUCAAGCUGGCAACAUCAGCACUUGGAGCUGAGCGCCCUCUCGCCUGGGCCAGGCAGCGUUCCGAGGGCCUCCCCUGCAUCCCCUCACUGCACCCAUGGGGCUCUGGGCGGCUCAUCAACCCUGGGGACAGAUGGGGAAACUGAGGUCCUCAAUGAAGCAGCUGCUCAGGCCGCACAGUGGGAAGUGGGUUGAGCCCCGAGACCCCGAGCUCACCCAGCCUGUGUUCCGCCCUGACAGCAGAGGCUUCAGGGAGCGAGAAACGUAAAAAGCCCGCAGAAGCCUGAGCCAUCGAAGGACAACAAGCCAUGAACUGUUGUUUUAUGUCUAUCAAAUGGGCCAGCGCGAGAGUGCCUGUGCCCUUCCUUGUCCAGCCUCUGCGUCCCGGGGGUGGGGGUGGGGGGCUGGAAGUUGAUUAAUAGCCCUAGGAGAGAAGCUGACCCGCAGGGGCACGUGGCCGGUCUGGCCUGAAAUCGAGGCAGAAUGUGAAGUGCAGGCCGUCCCUUCCCUUCCGGGUCUGCCUCCCAGUAUCAACGGCUGCUCUUUAUCCCCUGCGUGGCACUGUCCCCCCGGGCACCUGGACACUUCCACCUCCCUCCUUCUGCCCGGAACCCGGCUUUCUUAGGACAAUACUGUGAGCAGUGUCACUGGGUGAGAGCUCCGAGCAAAUGCCACUCAGGUCUUGUCCCUCUCCUGCUCCGUCAUCCACCGGUGGCUUCCCAUUCGCCCAGGGUAACCGCAAAGUGCCCACCAGGGCCUGGCCUCGCUGGCCACCCACAGCCAUGCUGGCUUCCUCCGGCCACCCUGCCAUGUCGCCAAGCACCAGCCACAGGCCAGCUCCGCAUUCCCACAGUAACACCCCCUCCGCCCCACCCCCCAGAGCCAUGACUCCUUUGCCUGGUUAACGCCGUUAGGUCUCAGACUGGAUGUCAUUUCCUUGGGGGCCACCCCUCGUUUCAGACAUGUUCCCUCUCUUGGACAGCAGUUGGCACAUUCAAAAUGACACUUGUCUCUGUUUUGUUUGGAGAGUAUCUGUCCUCUGGACUGUGGGACCCCGAGGGCAGAGGUCCCCUGGGUCCCAGGCCCAGCACCCUGCCUCACACAUCGCAGAUGCCCAAGACCACACCUUGCUAAGGAAGGAACACACUGACUCAGAUCAGGCCAUACACGUUCAGAUGUGCUGCCAUCCCUGCCUGAUAUGGUGAAGUAAGGAGUCCUCCCCGGGGAAAUGUCUAUGAAUCUGGAUUAAAAAGGAUUGGAUUGAUCAGAGCAGAGCAGACACACCUGUGGCCAAGGCAGCGCCCCAGUCACGGGCGGAGCCUUAGGAGCAGUCAUUCUGUAGCCAGGGAGGGUCUGCCUGGGGCCCAAGGCCCUCCUUGUCCUUACUCAUCAAACAUAAUUCAGAGUGUGUGUGGGGAGGGGCGUUUUCCACCUCCACCCAGAGCCUCUGUUUAGUGAUUCAGGUUAACGGAGCACCACUGUCAGGGCAGAAAGUCCUUCCCGACAGAGUGCUAGCGCCUGCCCUGCCUCUGGGUUGGGCAUUUACCCAACUGUACAGGACAGUAGAGGCCCAUCUGCAAGUCAUUCGGUGCAGAUCAGAGGCCUCUACAAUCCCUGCGGAUGCACGUCACUGUCCCCUGACCAUCACACAACCUCAGACAUUUGCGCCAACCGUGUGCAAGGCCUUGGACCCAGGGCUGCAGGGACAGAAGACGUACUGGCCAGAUCUGAACAGCCUUUUCAGAGCAGGAGGACUGUAUGAUGACAGUGGAGCAGAGAGAGGAAGGAGCCUGGAUUCCUGAUGACUGUGUUGCCCAAAGAGCCUGGACUGCCCAUGUCUGGAGUGUUCGAUUGAGAGAACAAAACCAUGCUCGCUUGGCUAAUUUGGGGUCUCUGCUACCUGCAGCUAACCCAAACCCUAAAGGGCUUCAGCACCCGCUCUGUGUCAGGACCCGGGGCCGUGAGAAUGAAUAAGACAAAGACAGUUCCUGCUCCCGGGAGCUCGCUGUCUAGUGAGCGACAGAGACAGACCAGUAACAAGCAAAGAAGCCAGUGCAUCAAUGCCAAUAGGCUCCGUGGCGUAAGCAAAGAGCUCUGUAAGUGAGAGGAUAGCAGUCAGGGAAGAGGAGCUAGGAAAGCUUUCCUGAAGGUGGCCGGUUUUAGAAAAAAAUGGGAAGAGGAGAACAGGGCAUUUGUUAUAGGAUGUUGUCUCCAAUUAUUCAUCUUGAUCAAAAUGCAGAAACUAGAGGAGACAGCUGUUCCACCUGCCGCUGACCGGAGCCUCUCCCCGAGGAGGGGGUUCCCGGUGGUGUGGAAGGUGAGGUCGCCUAGUGCGUGGGCAGAUGGCCUCUGGCUGGUCCUCCGCUGAGCCAGCCUCCGGGUCGUAGCUGGCUUUGGUCGGGGUGUGUCCAGCUCAGGAACACCUCGUCACUGGCCCCGUGUCCCUGUACCCAGGCUGACAUAGUCACUUUCUGAAAGGCAGAGUCCUGGGCCCUGCCUGAUGGAGACUUCUGGUUUCCUGAGAUUGAAUUAGCCGCGUUGAGGUCUGACGGUCCAGGGAAUAUGGGCUUCCAGAAACUCAGAUUACAGGCCUCAAGGUCAUCUGGGCCAAACACCCACCAGGCCGAGACCCUUCUCGCUCUGGCAGAGGGCCCUCCACUCCCUGCGUGACAUGCCAGCGGCCAGCGGCGGGCAGAGUGCUCUGUCCACGAGGCUGCAGCUUGAGCCUCGACAGCAAAUCACGUCCUGCUGAACUGCAACCCGAGCCCCCUCCCUGAGCUUCCUGUGGAGCCACCGAAAAUAAGAUGCACCUCUUUUCAAAUGAGAGGCUUCAAUUACGUGAGGUCACUUACCGCGACCCUGCGGCUCUCUCUUUUCCUGGCCAAGCCUCCUCCGAGCCCACGGCCGCUUCUCCUGUGAGCGGUACAGGCCGGAGCUCAGGGCCUGGCGCAGCAGCGAGGAAGGCUGCCUGUCCUCCUAGCCAGCUCAGCGGCGACAUCAGAUGGAGCCAAGGAAGGCGGGACUAUCCGUGUGGUCUUCCGUGGCGCUCCACGGACUCACUCCCAGGUCCUAGGUGUGGGCUGGGUUUGUAAGGCACCUUUGCAAACCCACUAUUCAGUCUAACCUCCCGUAUGAGUGUCCUAGGGCCGCCAAACCCCGCGACCACACGCUGGGGCCAAACACAGCAGGACCGUUGGCUUCAGAGGUGCUGGAGGCCCAGUCCCAGUCCGGGCCUGGGCGAGGCUGGGUCCUCAUGGGGGUUUGGGGGAGGAGGAGCCACUCGCUGCCGCUCUCCUCGCCCCGUGGUGGCUGGCAGUCCUUGCGUUACUGCCCUCCCUGUGGCCUUUUUCUCUGUUUCUGUGUCUUUCUCCCCUUCUCUACUCUCCUAGGACCCUCUUCACUUCUUCAGGCCUAACUUAGACCAGGCAAUUUCAUCCUGAAACCCUUACCUUAAUCAUAUCCACAAAGGCUCUCACUCCAUCCCUCUCUACCUACGGUCACACUUUGAUGUCCCUGGAGGUGACACAUUCACCCCACUCCCCUCCGUACUUCACAGGUGAGUGCUGUGGGUGUGUGUGGGGGGGGGGGGAUUUGUUGGGGUCCCCAGGGGCUAGGGAGGGCUUACAACAGCGCUCUGAGGCAGUAAUCAGACACAGUGACAUCUCCUCAGCCCAGAAUUGCUGCAAAAUACAUUUCCAUGAAUUCUUCACAUCACGGAAGCUUACCUUUUUAAGAGACAAACUUCUAAGAGAUCAACCAAAGGACUUAUAUGCAAGCAUAUAGGCCUAACCAAUGGGC